rnacentral:tRNA from 1 species
GUGAUUCGGCUCAGCUGGAUAGAGCGGCUGACUACGGAUCAGCAGGUCGGAGGUUCGAAUCCUUCCGGGCACA